rnacentral:snRNA from 1 species
GUUAGUGGUGUUAGUGGUGAGGGU